GUAUUGCUGAAGAGUCUCGUACUAGGAUGAAACGGUCGUCCAGUAC
rfam:Schistosoma curassoni strain Dakar, Senegal genome assembly, scaffold: SCTD_scaffold0004440